rnacentral:rRNA from 2 species
GGGUUGUGAGGUUAAGCGACUAAGCGUACACGGUGGAUGCCCUGGCAGUCAGAGGCGAUGAAGGGCGUGCUAAUCUGCGAUAAGCGCCGGUAAGGUGAUAUGAACCGUUAUAACCGGCGAUACCCGAAUGGGGAAACCCAGUGUGAUUCGUCACACUAUCAUUAACUGAAUCCAUAGGUUAAUGAGGCGAACCGGGGGAACUGAAACAUCUAAGUACCCCGAGGAAAAGAAAUCAACCGAGAUUCCCCCAGUAGCGGCGAGCGAACGGGGAGGAGCCCAGAGCCUGAAUCAGCAUGUGUGUUAGUGGAAGCGUCUGGAAAGGCGCGCGAUACAGGGUGACAGCCCCGUACACAAAAGCGCAUGUGCUGUGAGCUCGAUGAGUAGGGCGGGACACGUGGUAUCCUGUCUGAAUAUGGGGGGACCAUCCUCCAAGGCUAAAUACUCCUGACUGACCGAUAGUGAACCAGUACCGUGAGGGAAAGGCGAAAAGAACCCCGGCGAGGGGAGUGAAAAAGAACCUGAAACCGUGUACGUACAAGCAGUGGGAGCCCCACCACUAAGCCAGUGGUGAACUCCACAUACGCAUCCUUUGCUGAGGAUACGGUUAACGGAGCGAAAGCGACGUUCAACCUCAAAAGAAGCAGAGGGGGCUUAGUGGUGGGGUGACUGCGUACCUUUUGUAUAAUGGGUCAGCGACUUAUAUUCUGUAGCAAGGUUAACCGUAUAGGGGAGCCGGAGGGAAACCGAGUCUUAAUUGGGCGUUAAGUUGCAGGGUAUAGACCCGAAACCCGGUGAUCUAGCCAUGGGCAGGUUGAAGGUUGGGUAACACUAACUGGAGGACCGAACCGACUAAUGUUGAAAAAUUAGCGGAUGACCUGUGGCUGGGGGUGAAAGGCCAAUCAAACCGGGAGAUAGCUGGUUCUCCCCGAAAGCUAUUUAGGUAGCGCCUCGUGAAUUCAUCUCCGGGGGUAGAGCACUGUUUCGGCUAGGGGGCCAUCCCGGCUUACCAACCCGAUGCAAACUGCGAAUACCGGAGAAUGUUAUCACGGGAGACACACGGCGGGUGCUAACGUCCGUC